rnacentral:rRNA from 1 species
AUGAACGCUGGCGGCGUGCCUAAUACAUGCCAGUCGAGCGAACGGACGAGAAGCUUGCUUCUCUGAUGUUAGCGGCGGACGGGUGAGUAACACGUGGAUAACCUACCUAUAAGACUGGGAUAACUUCGGGAAACCGGAGCUAAUACCGGAUAAUAUUUUGAACCGCAUGGUUCAAAAGUGAAAGACGGUCUUGCUGUCACUUAUAGAUGGAUCCGCGCUGCAUUAGCUAGUUGGUAAGGUAACGGCUUACCAAGGCAACGAUGCAUAGCCGACCUGAGAGGGUGAUCGGCCACACGGGAACUGAGACACGGUCCAGACUCCUACGGGAGGCAGCAGUAGGGAAUCUUCCGCAAUGGGCGAAAGCCUGACGGAGCAACGCCGCGUGAGUGAUGAAGGUCUUCGGAUCGUAAAACUCUGUUAUUAGGGAAGAACAUAUGUGUAAGUAACUGUGCACAUCUUGACGGUACCUAAUCAGAAAGCCACGGCUAACUACGUG